CCUACGGGAGGCAGCAGUGAGGAAUAUUGGUCAAUGGGCGCGAGCCUGAACCAGCCAAGUAGCGUGAAGGAUGACUGCCCUACGGGUUGUAAACUUCUUUUAUAAAGGAAUAAAGUGAGGCACGUGUGCCUUUUUGUAUGUACUUUAUGAAUAAGGAUCGGCUAACUCCGUGCCAGCAGCCGCGGUAAUACGGAGGAGACGAGCGUUAUCCGGAUGUAUUGGGUUUAAAGGGUGCGUAGGCGGCCUUUUAAGUCAGCGGUGAAAGUCUGUGGCUCAACCAUAGAAUUGCCGUUGAAACUGGGGGGCUUGAGGAUGUUUGAGGCAGGCGGAAUGCGUGGUGUAGCGGUGAAAUGCUUAGAUAUCACGCAGAACCCCGAUUGCGAAGGCAGCCUGCCAAGCCAUGACUGACGCUGAUGCACGAAAGCGUGGGGAUCAAACAGGAUUAGAUACCCCAGUAGUC
rnacentral:rRNA from 1 species